GAAAUGCGAUAAGUAAUGUGAAUUGCAGAAUUCAGUGAAUCAUCGAAUCUUUGAACGCACAUUGCGCCUAUUAGUAUUCUAGUAGGCAUGCCUGUUCGAGCGUCAUUUCAACCCUCAAGCCCUGGUUGCUUGGUGUUGGGAGCUUGCUGUGAAACGCAACUCCUCAAAGCUAGCUGGCAGAGUCGGGAUGCACUCUAAGCGUAGUAAACUUGAUAGUCUCGCUUCUGCAGUUGUCCCGGCCGUCUUGCCUUAAAAGCCCAAACUUUUUUUGUUUUCUAUGGUUGACCUCGGAUCAGGUAGGAAUACCCACUGAACUUAAGC
rnacentral:misc_RNA from 1 species